rnacentral:rRNA from 1 species
GACGUAGGGCGCAAGCGUUGUCCGGAUUUAUUGGGCGUAAAGAGCUCGUAGGCGGCUUAGUAAGUCGGGUGUGAAACCUCCAGGCUCAACCUGGAGACGCCACCCGAUACUGCUGUGGCUAGAGUCCGGUAGGGGAGCGUGGAAUUCCUGGUGUAGCGGUGAAAUGCGCAGAUAUCAGGAGGAACACCAGCGGCGAAGGCGGCGCUCUGGGCCGGUACUGACGCUGAGGAGCGAAAGCGUGGGGAGCAAACAGG